GGGGUUGUGGCUCAGUGGUACAGCGCUUGCCUAGCAUGCAUGAGGCACUGGGUUCGAUCCCCAGCACCACA
rnacentral:tRNA from 1 species